rnacentral:lncRNA from 1 species
GUUCUCGAUGUGCUGGUGAUUUCAUGGUCCAAAAAUCCCUAAGAGCCCAAUAAUUCUUUAAGAAAACCCUCUCUUCAAUUUCCUUUGAACUAUAGAUAGAGAUUUUCUGCCUUUUAUUUGCUGAUUUCUUAGGGUUAAACUUGAUUUCAAACUGCUCAAUUUUGGCCAUCCACGUUCAUUGGUUUUCCAGCACUGUCCGGCACUGUCUGUCACCAUCGAAUACCCAAUCGGGGAGCCACGGGUGCACCACCAUGGGCUAGACUCUUGGUCAUCUAUUUUAGACAAGUUUCCCAUAGAGUUGGAAAGGAGAAGAAGGGGAUCAUGGAUCCCCUAUUCUGCCAAAUCGAAGGAAGAAAAAUGUGGAAAGAAAGAGGAAGAAAAAAAGAAGAAAAAGAGAAGAAAAAAAAGAAAAUAGAAGAGAGAGAGAUUCUCUCUCCUUUCUCUAAGUUUAAAUCCUCUCUUUCUCUCUCUAGAAGUUUUACUUUGUCUCUCUAAAUUUUUUUCUCUCUCGAUUGUAUCUCUUUUGAUUGAUUUCUCUCUUUAAAAUUUUCUCUCUCUAGAGGUUAUCUCUCUACGAUUGAUCUAGUGAAAGAUUCUUUUUAGUGAUUUUGAUUUAAUCUUAGCAAAGAGAAUCAUGAUCCA